AAAUAUGACCGAUGUUUCACAGUUGAAUACAAAAGAACAGUCACUUAAUUCCAUUCUAAAUUUUUCUUCUGAGCAAUUACGACAGAUAGCACAAGUCUUAUCUGCAAUCAAUCAUCACCCUUCUGGUAAUUCUGACAAUCACAUCAAUGUUGCAGGUUUGUUUCCCAUAUCUACAUUAUCUAUUAACUCUGCGAUGAUACCUCUGCUU